rnacentral:lncRNA from 1 species
UUAGGUUAAACAAGGCAAUGUAUAAAACCUUCCCCCGCAGUCAGAAUAAAAACUAAAAAGGUGUAAGCAGUUCUUGUUACUGAGACCUCCUAAAGCUGUCUUACAGUUUUAAAUUCAAAUUACUUUUCUGGGGCUUUAAUAGAGGCAGCAGAGGAAGGACGGUAUGGUCUUAAGUGUUGGUGAUUUAUUCACAGUUCCUCAAGGCCCCCGGGAUAACUAUUAAUUAUAGCUAUUUUUGUGCAAUUACAUCAUGUUAUGCAUUGGAAGCUGAGAAUUUUAAUAGCUUUUAAAACUGCUGUCCUCAUUAAGCGGUGAAAAAUAUUUCUCUUAAAUAUUGAAUAUUUUUCCUACAUUUUAACAAUAAUUAAAGUUUGUCCCACCAUAUCUUACAUUAAUUCCAUGUGCGUGGAUGAGCUAAUCUGGAGGAUAAUAUAUUUUCAUACCUUGAAGCGCAUUUAUGUGAGUACAAAUUAGACUAUAGACAGAACCCUAUAUCUAGCUUUAAUGAAAUUUUAAAUGAAUGAGUUUUGGCCUGAAAGAUCAUAAUCAUAUAUACAAUAAUAAUUAUUUUUUAAACCAAUAGAUUUAAAUUCUUUGAAGGAACAUUUUUUUUUUGUCUUACGGCCAAAUGCCACUUGGCCAGCUAGGACCACUGCACAGUCACUAAGUUGGCCGUACAAACUCUUGCCUUCCUUGUCUUUCAGCAUAAUAACUGCCUGAAAACCAACGAAACUCAUUCCUGAAAACCAAUGAAACUCAUUCUCUGGCAGUCGAAUCAAUAUUGGUUUUUACAGCUCUAUGCCAAGGAGUAGCUUUCUGUUAGAGAUAGAAAGAUGUUGUAACUGGGAAAACUGACAUGAUGUGUAGGUUUCACAUACAACAGUAUGGAUUUUCUUUUUUAAAAAAAAUAUAAAUCUGUACCUCUGUAAAAUUAGGAAUUGUAAUUUGAAUGUUAACUCUGAAAAGAUGUUGAGAUUCUCUUUAUGCUAUAACAGCGUAGGCAUAUAGCUAAUGAAACAACAGGAGAUUAUUUUAGAUUGAUAUUUUUUAUUUACUGAAAAUUGAAAUUUAUUUCCAAGUAUGAAAUUUUCAUAAUCUAGUUUGAUUAAAGAAAUGGAUUGGUCCGGAGGACAUUUGACACACAUGAGGGAUAUUAACACUGAUACUGAUUUCUUACAGAGAUAUUUAUUUUAGAGUCGAUACUUUAAAACAUCUGUGUGAGGGUUACUUUGCCCCCUUAUGUUUAAUUAUCAUCAUAAUUCUGAUUAUGUUCUCAAUGACUAUGAAAGGUGACACAGUCAAGAUAUUAUUGUCUUAAAUCUACCUGUAUCGCAAAAUUACUUGCUAAUAAUUAAUCCUCGUGAAUACAUUACUUCUAUAAUGAGGAAAAUCACUAAGAGCAGACAGAGAGUUUUGUUGCUACCUUACGAGAACAGUGAGUGUCUGUAGUGAGUCUAACCCUAAGGAGGGAAUUUGGUGGCAGCAUUUAUGUAAGCAGCUGGUUCUAUCCCCAUGUGGGGGAGCCUCAUGGAGAAGAAAAGCAAGUGGUUCUAGAGUAUCUGUGUGUGGCCACUGACUAUCCUAAUGUCACUUGUGGGUGGCUUGUAUAUUUAAUUUGAUGAGUAAGGGAACCCGGCAAAAAUGUAUUAUGGGAUCUAAAAAGGCAAAAAAAAAUUAACUCAAUGCCUAGUGAUUUGUAAAAGGUUUCUUUGAACUUACUCCUUUUAUUUGAACCAUGAACCUGUGGGUAUGCCAUCUACAGUAUACACUGGCAUUCACUGUGAUUUCUGACAUGUCAUGGACUUCCUGUGCGGUACUGAAUCCUUGCAUUCUGUUGUCAUUGUUCUCAAGUGCAAUAUAACAAUGUAACGAAACUUAAAUAUGAGUCACUAUUAAUUUAGUAAGAAAUUAUUAAUUUGUCACUAUUAAUCUGAGUAGAAAUUUAUUAGUAUUUUUUAUUAGCAGAAAAGAACAAUUCUGCUGUAGUUGUAGAUAUACAGGUGAAGUUUUUUUGUUUUUUGCUUUUUUUGUUUCGUUUUGGUCUUUUUUUUUUUUUUUUUUUUUUUACCUCUAAACCAUCCAAUCUGCAUUUUAUUUUAGGUGGAAGACAAACUAUUCCCUACCAGUUUUAAGACAUCUUCAGUAUAUUAAGAUAACUUGGAAGCUGUGUGUAUCAAAUUACUUUGCUCUCUAAGUAACAUGGAAGAUAUUUUUUUUUUUUGGCUUCUCUUGUGAUCGCCCACAUUGGGUGAGACAUAAAACGAGUCUCUUCUGAAACCUGUCAUUGGCUAGCUUGUUUUGAGUUAGUAAAAGCAGGUUCCAUGCUCUGCUUGGUUUCCAAUGUGUAACUUGUGACUGUAUAAUAAACUUGAACAUCUGG